GCAAGUCGUGCGCGAAAGCCUUCGGGCGAGUAAAGCGGCGAACGGGUGAGUAACACGUAACCAACCUACCCUUCAGACCGGGAUAACCGCGGGAAACUGCGGGUAAUACCGGAUGGUCCCAUUGGGAGGCAUCUCUUGAUGGGUAAAUGGCGGCUUCGGCUGCUGCUGGGGGAGGGGGUUGCGGCCUAUCAGCUUGUUGGUGGGGUAAUGGCCUACCAAGGCAAUGACGGGUAGCCGGUCUGAGAGGAUGGUC
rnacentral:rRNA from 1 species